AGAGUUUGAUCAUGGCUCAGGAUGAACGCUGGCGGCGUGCCUAACACAUGCAAGUCGAGCGAACCCCUUCGGGGGAGAGCGGCGGACGGGUGAGUAACGCGUGGGUAACCUACCCUGUACACACGGAUAACAUACCGAAAGGUUUACUAAUACGUGAUGACAUAUCAGACAGGCAUCUGUUUGAUAUCAAAGGUCAGCUGGUACAGGAUGGACCCGCGUCUGAUUAGCUAGUUGGUGAGAUAAAAGCUCACCAAGGCGACGAUCAGUAGCCGACCUGAGAGGGUGAUCGGCCACAUUGGAACUGAGACACGGUCCAAACUCCUACGGGAGGCAGCAGUGGGGAAUAUUGCACAAUGGGCGAAAGCCUGAUGCAGCAACGCCGCGUGAGUGAUGAAGGUUUUCGGAUCGUAAAACUCUGUCCUCAAGGAAGAUAAUGACGGUACUUGAGGAGGAAGCCCCGGCUAACUACGUGCCAGCAGCCGCGGUA
rnacentral:rRNA from 1 species